GAUGAACGCUGGCGGCGUGCCUAAUACAUGCAAGUCGAGCGAACAGAUGAGGAGCUUGCUCCUCUGACGUUAGCGGCGGACGGGUGAGUAACACGUGGAUAACCUACCUAUAAGACUGGGAUAACUUCGGGAAACCGGAGCUAAUACCGGAUAAUAUAUUGAACCGCAUGGUUCAAUAGUGAAAGACGGUUUUGCUGUCACUUAUAGAUGGAUCCGCGCCGCAUUAGCUAGUUGGUAAGGUAACGGCUUACCAAGGCAACGAUGCGUAGCCGACCUGAGAGGUUGAUCGGCCACACUGGAACUGAGACACGUUCCAGACUCCUACGGGAGGCAGCAGUAGGGAAUCUUCCGCAAUGGGCGAAAGUCUGACGGAGCAACGCCGCGUGGGUGAUGAAGGUCUUCGGAUCGUAAACCUCUGUUAUUAGGGAAGAACAAAUGUGUAAGUAACUAUGCACGUCUUGACGGUACCUAAUAGAAAGCCACGGCUAACUACGUG
rnacentral:rRNA from 1 species